UGCAUUCAGGAAACUAAAAUGGCUUUGAUCUACUCGCCCAUUGUGCUUGACAUUCUCGGCUCCGAAUUUGACGCCUACACGUACCUGCCGGCUGAUGGCACGCGGGGCGGUAUUCUUCUAGCCUGGAAGAGCAGGGCUGUCACGAUCUCCGACCCGUUGCUCACCCAGAAUGCGCUCACGGCCAAGGUAUCCGUGGCCUCUGGGACGCCGUGGUGGCUGACGACGGUCUACGGACCCCAAGAUGACGCGGAUAAAAUUCUGUUCCUCCAGGAGCUGCGCGACGUUCGGGCGGCAUGCCCCGGCCCAUGGAUGCUAUGUGGUGACUUCAACCUCAUAUACCGCACGGAGGACAAAAACAUGGGUGGCCUGCACCAGCGCAUGAUGAGAAGGUUUCGCCGCGCCAUCAACGACCUCGCCUUGAAGGAGAUCUAUCUCAACGGGCGUCGCUUCACGUGGUCGAAUGAGCAAUCGCCGCCCACGCUAGUGCACCUUGACCGCGUCCUGUGCACAUCGGACUGGGAGGAUGCGCACGGCGAAUGCCAUCUCCGGUGCCUUGCCUCGGUCGUGUCAGACCACUGUCCGCUGCUGCUGGACUGCUCCCCCAUGCCGAUGGCGCACAAACGCUUCCACUUUGAGGAUUAUUGGCUUAGGCUUGACGGCUUCCACGACACCGUUGCCGCGGCUUGGAGCUCCGCGCAUGACGACGACCCUUUCCGGCGGCUGGUCAAGCGCCUCCAGGCCACGGCUAAACGCUUAUCGAGUUGGAGCGCCAAGUCCACGGGCAACAUACGGGAAAAGCUGGCCAUAUCCCGCGAGCUGAUCUUGCGCUUCGACAAAGCACGGGAGGACCGGGCGCUCUCCCCCCCGGAGGAAUGGCUCCGCAAGCAGCUCAAGGUCACCUACCUCGGCAUGGCAUCCUUGGAGCGCACAAUCGCCAGGCAACGCGCCCGUAUCGCGUCCCUCAAGGACGGCGACGCCAACACGAGCUUCUUCCACCGGCAAUGCUCCUAUUGGCGACAGAAGAACCGCAUAUACAGCCUUGCCGCCGACGGGCAUGUGCUCACGGCUCAUGAGGAAAUGGCCAACGCAGCGUUCUCGCAUUUUGAUGGCCUGCUGGGCACCGCUCUGGACCGGGCGCACACGCUGGAUCUUUCCCAGCUCAUUGAGCCCAGCGACCUUGCAUGCCUCGACGUGCCCUUCAGCCAGGAGGAGAUUUGGGAGGCGGUCAAACGCAUGCCGGCGCGUAAAGCGCCUGGACCAGAUGGAUUCACCGCGGAGUUUCUGCGUGCCUGCUGGAGCAUCAUUCGCCAUGACAUAUGGGACGUUUUCGAGCGGCUUUACACGCUGCGCGGCCGCGGGUUCAGUAAGCUUAACCAAGCGCUGCUGACCCUGCUGCCUAAGCGCGCGGACGCCCACUCGCUUGGUGACUACCGGCCGAUAUGCCUGAUCCACAUUGUGGCCAAGAUCGUCUCGAAGGUCCUAUCGUUGCGCCUUGCCCUCAAGCUGGGGAUA
rnacentral:rRNA from 1 species